GGGGGCGGAAGCGGAAGCGGGGCGGGCGGGAGCUGCCGGCCCCGCUCUGUGGCCCGGCGCAGAUCCUGUUCGUGAGCGCGUUAAUGUCUGUAGCGGCACACCCGGCUCUGCGCUGCGUUCACAACCCCGCAGAUAAAUUUCGGGUUGUUUAUAAGUUUAGCAGAGGGCAGCCCAAGGUGGGGGCUGAAGGAGCAGCUGUGAUACUUUAUGAAAAACCCUCUGCUAGGAUUUUUCCCUCCUCAGGAAGGAAAUGCAAACAAGAACUGCCUGCUGCUGUGGAAUGCAACAGGUGCAGCUGGGAUUGGUGCAUGUUGGUUGUUUCUAACUAAGAGCCAACCACAGAUGCAGCUGCAUCGGACUCUGAGGGUCACGAGAUUUUGUUGUGCAUUCUAUUCUUGUUCUUUCUUUUCUCUCUGUUCUUUUAGUACAGUUUUUAUGUAGUAUUUUAAUAUAAUAUAGAUCAUAAGGUAAUAAACCAGCCUUCUAAGGUGCA